CACACACACACACACAUAUAUAUAUAUACAUAUACACACUCACUACAACACAAAAUAUUGAUACAAUAAAGACUUUCAGCUCUUGAUGGACACUAAUGAUGAGUAAACCAGCACAGCGCGUCCUUCAUCGAGCGCGUUCAACCGUUCACUUCCUAAAAAGGGGGAUACGUCGAAGCGAGUGAAAGGAAGACUGAGUGUAAGCAAUGAGCAGAAAGGUUAGAGCUCUGACCCCCCCCAAAAAAAGGAGCCAGAGAAAACAGAGUCGAGAGAAUCUGUUCUCUGUUAAACCUGUCUCUCUUUUAUUCUUCGGUACAGAGUGGACUGAGGAGAAAGGAGGCACAGGAGAGGGAAAGGAGGAAAAAAGAAAACAGCCAUUUUUGUGAUUUUUUUAAACAUUUUUUUUUUUUUUUUUUUUACCAGCGCCGAGAGAAAAGCAGCGGGGGAAAGUUUUGAGAAAUUUAAACAGCCUCGACAGCCGGGGUGCGGUGUUAUUAAUCUUUUCAAACAGCGAGAAAACCCCUGUAUUAUAAACACAGACAGAGACUUGGGGAUCGGCGGCUGUGUUACGUAAAGUGUGUUUAUUGCUUCUGUCAGAUUAAAAACGUGUAUAUCCAGUAAGUCAACAUCUUUUUUUUGGGGGGGGGGAAACAUAUAUAAGCUGCUGUUUCUGAAAAUCUGAAAAGGAAUUAGGAAAUAACCAAUCUGUAGGAAGAGAGAAAAAACAUCCCAGCAGACACAAAACAUCGCCAGCAUUUAACUUAUGUUAGUUGUGUUUCUUGUCACCUAGUAAAUGUAUGAUCAAUAUUAUUUUAGCUCUGCUUUUGGUCUCCACCACUAUUGAGGAAAAUAUCUGGUCUGCUAGUUGCUAAUCACACCUGUGUGCCUUUCACUUCCAUGCAGAAACUGUACUGUGGGUUUUGGGUCAAAGCUCUGCAGAACUAAAAGGAAAUGUAGAGUUGGGCGAUACCUCUGUGGGUUUGGCACCAACACAAAAAUCUUUCAGGUUUUAUAUGUUACAGCUGCUUUAACCGUAUGAAUGAUGCAAACUUCCAAGUCAUGCAUUCAGUGCCUCCCUUUAGUGUUUUAACAUUAUAAUUCAAGUAAAAAAAGGCAUUUAAAGAUCAGGUUCAGCCUAAUGUGAGUCUCGUUCAAAUGCAGACAGAAAAAGAGAGUAAAUAACUGCAUCUUCCGCUUUUUUAGGUUGCUUUAUCGCAGCGUGGGGACUCUAGAUGCUAGCUUUUGUUGGGAGUAUUUAACUGCCUCUGUAGCUUACAUCUGAAUGUCACACCGGCUCACGCAGCUAAUCACACCUGAGCGCCCCCGACCCCGACUGGACUCCGGCAUCAAAGAAAAACAUGCAACUCCCAAAUGUUAAUGGUGCCAUCAUCCUCCUACUCUGCUAACAGUGUUUGUCUUUCACUCCCUUCACCCCACUCUCCGUGCACAGGCAGAAAAAAAAGGGAAUGAAUAAAGUUGGGGCGCUCUAAUUUUGGCAGGCGAGACUUUUCCCCCCUCUCCCUGUGUUUGUGCAGGCUCUGUGAAAACAUCUCCAAGGUGGAGAGAAGAUGGAGGAGAAUGUCAAGCAGGAGCACUGACACACUAAUCUGCUUCUUAAUUAUGCUAACUGCUGAUAUAAUAAUGGACUGUGGACUGAAUCAGUGCUUUAGAUUUGAUGUGAGUCAAAAGUAAGUCACAGCAAUUAGGCGUUGAAGCUUAACUUGGACAGAUGACAGGAUGGACCUGAAGGCAUAUUUUCAGAUAUUAGAGGAAAAUACACCAUGCAUGGCUGUAAAUAUAAAGCUACAAUGUUUGUACAAGUGAAAGCAAAAGCUGGAAACACAGAGAUACGAAGCCUCAAAAGUAACACUUUCAGCUUAUCACUAUAAAACAAAAAUACAGUUCAUAUUGUUGUGUUGCGAUUUUAUUGUUGGACAAUAGUGAAGGAUUUCUGGUCUGCACUCGGACAAGUUAGGCCCACACUUGUCUGUUGCAACCACAUGAGUUACCCCCUGGUGGCCAUCUACACUGGCUGCAAUGGCUGCAUUGGCUGCAAGCUACGUUGAUGUUUUACAUCUAAUUUUUAAAACUUAGAGCAGUGGCGCUUGCUUGCUUCGCUGGUGUUUGAAAACGCAACUGAUUCGUGCAAUAUAUCCAUCACAUAAGACAAAAUAACAUUACAGGCACUACCGAUGAACACUAAUUUACAGAUAAGUUAAUAUUAAAAAUACACUGUGGUGGGGUGUGGUAUGUGGCUCAGCUGUAGGGGAGGGGUGGCGUCAGGGGAAGGCUGACCGACACAGCUGAUUUUCAUCGUAUAAUCAUGCCUUCCCUACUUGCGUGGGAUGGCGGGACCUGACAGGAGAGCUGUGUGUACUACACUGGAGAGAGGCGGCUGUAAAGCUGCCUAACCGGAGUGGCUGCAAAGCAGUGUGCCGUGGAUCCUUGACAUCAUGUACAUGUAACUCAUCUCAUCCAACUCUUAGCAAAAGUAUCCCAAAAUGACAACAUUUGCGAUUAAGAGGGUUGCAAUACUGGUAUAAUGUUUCGGCUGAAAAUUAAAAAAAUUUCAGGUUUCCACUGCUCAAUACCUGGAACAACAGAAACAGAAAGAACCUGCUUUACUGCACUUCCUUCCUCUGGUCUCAGGCAGCUCCAUUCAACACAAACUGCUUGGAUUGUGAGCUGAAACCUCGAGGCUGUCCGCACUAAAAACCAAACCCUCGGGACACACACUGUAAUCCUUUGCACACCACAGAGUGUAUACUUUUUAGUUCAGCUCAGAGGGGAUGGAAAUCUCAGCCCAGGCUGAAGCAAAGACAGCACAGAGGACCUGAAGUUUGCGUUCAGGUUCAACAAGGUGGGUGGCGAGAAAUUUUCCCCAAAAUUUAUGAGCAAUACUUGCAGAUAAUUCUUCCCUAGAACACCGAUGUCACUUUUAGCUUCUUGGGAGCAGGAGGUGAAAGAAAAAAAACAAAACAGUGCAGGGUAAAUGAAUACAAUUCACACAAACUGACAAGCUCCUAAACCAGAUGUCUUUCAGAAAACUCUAAAGGAGCAGACGUUUUGAUUGUUGAACAGCUGUGGUAUGAGGUAAGUGGCCAAAGGUCACCAAGUGUCAUCAUUAGGGGAACUUGUCUUCUUGAUGGCUGCCACCCUAACUUUACAGCUAAUAAGCUGGCCGUGACACUAAUGAUGAGCAGCAGCCCACCACCACCGCACCUCCACUGCUGUCAAAGGAGGCACCUGUAAUGACUGUAAUGACUCGAGCUCGUGCUGCUUCCGCUUCACUGCAACCCUUUCCUUUAAAAGUCGACAGAAAAGAAAACAAGACGAGGAGAAGUUUUGAUUCACAGGACGCCGCAUGGAACAUGGCAGCAAGCCUCGCCAUAAUGUCAUUGGGGGAAAUCAUCCAGCUUCGUCUCCUUUGAUCCUGCAAGAAUCAAACGAACUGAAAAAGACUUCAUAGAUGUUUUAUCCAAUAACCGGGGAGACGUUCAAACAAAACGAAGGAAGCGUGCCAGACACAAAGAAAAUUUUGAUUUGGGCAGCGUUAGAGUGCCAAGAACAUGAAAAUGUUUUACGGAACGUAUUUUUGAUGCUGUCUUAAAGAAUUUUGUAGAGCUUGGUUUUUAUUUGCCACUUAAGGCCUCCUUUAAUUUUAUUUGCAUGUUCAUAUUAGAGGAUUGGCAUUGUGGGUGCUUUUGCUGCUGGUAUCGAAUUAGGUGACUGUAAAGUAUCAUUUAACAAAAAACCACUUGCAAAAUAUGCAAGUCUUUUUAGACAGCAUUAUUUAAAGGAGAGUUCAAGUAAUUGACUAAGGUCACCAGAAGACAGAAUUCAUUCACUCUUUAUUAACUCGGUUGGAUCUUUUCUGAACUCAGCUGUUUCUGUCAAAUUUUAAGGCCCACUUACAGGGCAGAAUGACUGGGUUUGCAUCAGAAGUUAGUGAAGGUGGGCUCUGA